GGCUCGAUGGUCUAGUGGUAUGAUUCUCGCUUCGGGUGAGAGGUCGGGUUCAAUCCCGGUCGACCA